rnacentral:rRNA from 1 species
GGGGAAUUUUGGACAAUGGGCGCAAGCCUGAUCCAGCCAUGCCGCGUGCAGGAAGAAGGCCUUCGGGUUGUAAACUGCUUUUGUCAGGGAAGAAAUCCUUUGGGUUAAUACCUCGGAGGGAUGACGGUACCUGAAGAAUAAGCACCGGCUAACUACGUGCCAGCAGCCGCGGUAAUACGUAGGGUGCAAGCGUUAAUCGGAAUUACUGGGCGUAAAACGUGCGCAGGCGGUUAUGCAAGACAGAGGUGAAAUCCCCGGGCUCAACCUGGGAACUGCCUUUGUGACUGCAUGACUAGAGUACGGCAGAGGGAGAUGGAAUUCCGCGUGUAGCAGUGAAAUGCGUAGACAUGCGGAGGAACACCGAUGGCGAAGGCAAUCUCCUGGGCCUGUACUGACGCUCAUGCACGAAAGCGUGGGGAGCAAAC